rnacentral:rRNA from 1 species
CCUACGGGGGCUGCAGUGGGGAAUAUUGGACAAUGGGCGAAAGCCUGAUCCAGCCAUGCCGCGUGUGUGAAGAAGGCCUUCGGGUUGUAAAGCACUUUCAGUGGGGAAGAAAGCCUUGGGGCUAAUACCCUCGAGGAAGGACAUCACCCACAGAAGAAGCACCGGCUAACUCCGUGCCAGCAGCCGCGGUAAUACGGAGGGUGCGAGCGUUAAUCGGAAUUACUGGGCGUAAAGCGCGCGUAGGCGGUCUGAUAAGCCGGUUGUGAAAGCCCCGGGCUCAACCUGGGAACGGCAUCCGGAACUGUCAGGCUAGAGUGCAGGAGAGGAAGGUAGAAUUCCCGGUGUAGCGGUGAAAUGCGUAGAGAGCGGGAGGAAUACCAGUGGCGAAGGCGGCCUUCUGGACUGACACUGACGCUGAGGUGCGAAAGCGUGGGUAGCAAACAGGAUUAGAUACCCCAGUAGUC